GAGGAUCAUCAACGCAAACUAGAUCUGCCCCUGUCUCCGCAAACAUCCAUACGCUACUACGAAAUCAGACAGAGAAAACAUUGUCCUUGACUGACAGCCUAAUGAAGCAAGCAAUGGAAUCCAUCAGGUUGUGUGAGUCCGACAGCCAGCCAGCAUACUACACAGACCAACAUCAGAGACAGGACCUGAGCCCUAGGACCAUGCCUCAGGACUACCUGGUAUGAUGACUCCUUGCUGUCCCCAGUCCACCUGGCCAUGCUGCUGCUCCAGUUUCAACUGUUCUGCCUGCGGCUAUGGAACCCUGACCUGUUCACCGGACGUGCUUGUUGCACCCUCGACAACUACUAUGAUUAUUAUUAUUUGACCAUGCUGGUCAUUUAUGAACAUUUUAACAUUUUAACAUCUUGACCAUGUUCUGUUAUAAUAUCCAC
rnacentral:lncRNA from 1 species